rnacentral:tRNA from 1 species
GCGGGGGUACCCGAGUGGCUAAGGGGCAGGGUUCAGGUCCCUGUGGUGUAGGCCUUCGUGGGUUCGAAUCCCACCUCCCGCACCA